rnacentral:sRNA from 2 species
AAACCAUCUUGGCCCUCUUUCCGCGAAACCCUAGGCUUCUACACAGAGCGGCAGCGUGCGUGGCGUUGUGCAAAGUGGAGCGACAAAAAAUUUUAAGUUAGGGGAUGGUGGUAAAUUUUCGGCUUUAUGGUGAGUAUAGGAACUGGAGAUCUGACCAUCGGUGUUGGACAGUGCAUUUACCACUGCUGGAAUGAAUUUAUACAGAAUAUAAACUGGAACUCUUGAGGAUUUGGGAUGAUUCGGGAGGAUUUGGAGAAAACGACUCUGAUCAACUUGUGUAACUGACAAAUGCACGCCACUACUUGAUGAAUCCCUCAACCUUGUGCCCAGUUUUGAAAGAGAAAGAAUUCACAACUGUUCAGAAUCAUGAUAUUCAUUCCUCACCCCACCCAUCCCUCACUCUAUCGCCCAAUACUUGUCCCAGGUCGGCUUUAUUGCCCCUUCUCUCCUACAGUUAAUAGUAACCUAAGUACAGUAAAGAUGAUCAUGGUCUUUCAUGUUAUGGUAUGUUUGUAGGAAGUCCCUCCCCAGGAAUGUAUGUACUGUACGUAUGUAGCAUUAAACAAAGAAGCGGAUGAAAAAAAAAAGAUAAAAAAUAAAAAGCGAGCGGAUCUAGACCUAAACCGAACAACUCACAUAUUUUAAAAAGAAGAAGAAAAAGAGGACGAAGAGGAAGAGGAAAUAUAUAAACACUAUCCCCGCUGCACAUACUCCCUCGCCUCCUGCGGCGUAAGUCGCUUCCCCGUCUUAUCAUAGAACCGCGAACUAAUCCGCAGCCAUUUCUCCUCAUCAUACUGCGCCGCCAGCCGAUUGAGGAGCAAUAUCUCCUCGAGGCUGAAAUUCUCGUCAACGUAGAGGAUUUUCUUCUUGUGGGG